rnacentral:rRNA from 1 species
UACGUAGGGUGCGAGCGUUGUCCGGAAUUAUUGGGCGUAAAGAGCUCGUAGGCGGUUUGUUGCGUCUAUCGUGAAAACCUGCGGCUUAACUGUGGGCUUGCGGUGGAUACGGGCAGACUUGAGUUCGGUAGGGGAGACUGGAAUUCCUGGUGUAGCGGUGAAUGCGCAGAUAUCAGGAGGAACACCGGUGGCGAAGGCGGGUCUCUGGGCAGUAACUGACGCUGAGGAGCGAAAGCGUGGGGAGCGAACAGG